GCCUUGGUGGUGUAGUGGUCAACACGCUCGGCGUGUAUUCGAGAGGUCCGUGGUUCAAGUCCUGGCAAGGGCA
rnacentral:tRNA from 1 species